GAUGAACGCUAGCGGCAGGCCUAACACAUGCCAGUCGAGGGAGAAGCCCUUUCGGGGGCAGAAACCGGCGCACGGGUGCGUAACGCGUAUGCAACCUACCUUUCACAGGGGGAUAGCCCGAAGAAAUUUGGAUUAAUACCCCAUAAUAUUAUUGGAUGGCAUCAUUUGAUAAUUAAAACUGCGGUGGUGAAAGAUGGGCAUGCGUCCUAAUAGCUAGUUGGAGUGGUAACGGCACCCCAAGGCUACGAUAGGUAGGGGUCCUGAGAGGGAGAUCCCCCACACUGGUACUGAGACAGGGACCAGACUCCUACGGGAGGCAGCAGUGAGGAAUAUUGGUCAAUGGUCGGAAGACUGAACCAGCCAUGCCGCGUGCAGGAAGAAUGCCUUAUGGGUUGUAAACUGCUUUUAUAUGGGAAGAAUAAGGCGUACGUGUACGUUGAUGACGGUACCAUAUGAAUAAGCAUCGGCUAACUCCGUG
rnacentral:rRNA from 1 species